AGCGAACGCUGGCGGCAGGCCUAACACAUGCAAGUCGAACGGAUCCUUCGGGAUUAGUGGCGGACGGGUGAGUAACACGUGGGAACGUGCCCUUUGGUUCGGAACAACUCAGGGAAACUUGAGCUAAUACCGGAUGUGCCCUUCGGGGGAAAGAUUUAUCGCCAUUGGAGCGGCCCGCGUCUGUUUAGCUAGUUGGUGAGGUAAGGGCUCACCAAGGCGAGGAUCAGUAGCUGGUCUGAGAGGAUGAUCAGCCACAUUGGGACUGGGACACGGCCCAAACUCCUACGGGAGGCAGCAGUGGGGAAUCGUGCGCAAUGGGCGAAAGCGUGACGCAGCCAUGCCGCGUGAGUGAGGAAGGUCUUAGGAUUGUAAAAUUCUUACACAGGGGACGAUAAUGACGGUACCCGGAGAAGAAGCCCCGGCUAACUUCGUGCCAGCCGCCGCCGUAA
rnacentral:rRNA from 1 species